AUGCUGCUGGAUGGAAACGCGCCGUCGUCAAAAGCUGAAGUCCCAGCAAAAGCAGCAAGACGUCUCAGCUGCGCCGACGGAGAAUUUCACAGGUGGAUCCGGUGCUUCUCCCAGGUGCUCACUGAAGUUCCUCCUAGCGUAACUCAGUCAGCACAGGUUGACACCAGCUUUGGAGCUACCGAGCGAGCAGGGGAGCAUUCCUGUGACCAGCCUGUUUCUUUUUCCUCUCCCUUUGCCGUUGAAUUUCUCUGAAAUCUGGGCAGCAAGGCAGGGGCGAGCCGGGGCUCAGAUGCAUUCCUACACGCCGCUGCCCCCCAACAGCCACCUCGUUUCUUGUUUCCAGCUCCUUCCCCAAAGGCUUGUGUAAACCCUCUGACAGCAGGGCGGGCCGUGGCAGUAAAUGUCACGGGAAAUGGAUGGGGGUCAGGCAGAGCGCUGCUUUGGAGCCUGCUGAUUUGGUUUAGGCUGACCAAAAGCUCAGCCAGCCCCGUCCUUUAUCCCGGGGAGGGGAGGGCCGCCGAGCCCAGCAGCAAGAACUUGUUAAAAGUCUCCAGAUCCUGUCAAAAUGCCUCCGUUUUAUGGCUUUCGGUUGAAGGUUGAAGUUUUUGAUGAGGUGCAUGAGCAGUGACCUCAUAAAUUGCUCUAUAAAGUGUAAACAUGAUUUCUAAAAAUUCUUUUUGAAACACAACUUUAAUAAUAAGCCAAACUUGUUAGAACUGCCUUAAAUAUUUAUGUGCAUGGCAUGCUCUCUGCACAGCUUGUAAUUAUAGAAUAUUAUUUCUCUUUUUGUACAUUUUUAGGCUGUACUGCCACUAGCAUUUGACACUUUAAUUUAAGCAUAGUUAAAAAAAAAAAAAAAAAAAAAAAAAAAAAGGAUAAUUUCUUUUUUCCACCUUAGUAUAAAGAUAAACCAGCGAAAUCAUUCCUGCAUUUGCUGGUACAAUUUCAAUUUUUAGCUAUGUUGAUAAUUUACUUUUGAUGCUAAUUAAUUACAAGUAAUCAUAAAAACAAAUUAAAAGCACUAUACUUGCAGCAGGUUUUUUUAUGCUUAUGAAAUAAUGCAUCUUUAUGCAUCUGUUUACUUGCUAUGUAAAAAAAUGUAAUCUAUAUUCAUAGGAAAACAACUUUAGCACUCAACGGUGGUGCUGUGAGCCAUUACCACUAACACGUUUUUAGCUAUCUUUGCUUUUUCUAGAAAGAGGGCAGUCCGGUGCAAAACCCCGAAGUCCACCAGUUGGGAAAUUUGAGGAUAAAAGCCUGUGAUUUAGGGAUAAGACAGAGAGAGAGGCUUGAGCAUGUGGAUUUCAAAGGAAGGGCAUUUUAUUUGUAGAUAAAUAUCCAUCAGAAAUGGAUGUCAUCCGUGUCCCCAUGGCACGCGGCUCCCGGUCUUCUCAUGCAUUUUUCCACAUGCGUUAAGCAGUUUGUGGGAGAAGACAGAGACUUGCAGAUAACCCGCGAGUUUUGGGUCGAGCCAGCGGUGCAGCUGGUCAUGAUGACCCUCUGGGAUCUCGUGGGGAGGAAGGAUCGGAGCCAGCUCCGAAAACUUCCUCCCACCCUUGCCAAGUCUCAGAGCUGAGUCACCAACAACUCAUUAUCAAGACUCUGUGUAUUGACCUAACUCCUGGAAGAGGGCCUUGAAUUCCUUGGCAACUUCCAAUACUAAGAAACAGAAGCUUUUCUGGGAUUAGAUGCGAAAAUGAAUAAAACAAUGCUGUGCAGUCA
rnacentral:lncRNA from 1 species